rnacentral:rRNA from 1 species
UACGUAGGGGGCAAGCGUUGUCCGGAUUUAUUGGGCGUAAAGAGCGUGUAGGCGGCCAGGUAGGUCAGCUGUGAAAACUCGAGGCUCAACCUCGAGACGUCGGUUGAAACCACCUGGCUAGAGUCCGGAAGAGGAGAGUGGAAUUCCUGGUGUAGCGGUGAAAUGCGCAGAUAUCAGGAAGAACACCCGUGGCGAAGGCGACACUCUGGGCCGGUACUGACGCUGAGGAGCGAAAGCGUGGGGAGCAAACAGG